AUGAAGCCCGUGGAGCUUCCUCCUGGGAGAGCCCUCCGCUUUAGAAGUGGAGUUCCGAGACGGAGCCCAGCCCCGCGCAAGGCCCGGAGUUUGCGAUCCCUAGGCGGCCCGACCUCACCCUCCAGAAAAGGAACCGCAGGAUCCAAAUCGGGACACCACGUGGCAUUUAAUGCAAGUGGCCUUCUAAUACCAAUGACAGGCUGUAUGCAUGAGAACCCUUCCCUGGCCUGCCAGACUGAGGCCAUUGUCACGGCCUCUGCCAUGCCUGUUGGAUCUAGCCUGCUUCUGGAGCCUUACGGCCCUCUGCCCUAGAGCUUUGAGUCUGAGAUACUAUAGGGUCCUGGGCUGCUGGUCAUAGAAUUUAUUUCCUGUGCAACUCUCUCACGGUCCUUUUGGUCAGCCACCUUCUCUUUGGCCUCAGUUUACUUACGUCUCCUCUGCCUUCCCCACAGCCCCCUUUCCAUCCCUGCAGCCUUACUGAUGAUUACUUCCAAUGCUUGAUCUACUCCAGGACAGGGACAGUACCAUCUUAUUCUCUUUCUUAUCCCUGGGACCUAAAGCACACCUCAUACCCACUGAACACUGAAUGGAAAUGGGCUGUCUUCUCACCUGUGUCCUCUGUCCCCUUUCGCCGAUCACAUAACCACCCUGGGUCUCAUUUCUCCUCAUCUGCAGACCGAGGAGGCUGAUGUGCCCACUGGCUUUCAAAUUGCAUUUUGAGAGCCCUACAACAUCUUUGGGUCCUAACUCCCAGCUUUAAUGAGAGCCAUGUUUACACAGCAUGUUGUUUUCAUACACUGUAAACACUGACCGUUCUGAAAAGUAUUUCUCUUAAUGGAGUUUGAAGAUUUGGCUGUUCAAAAAAGUUUGAGAUCCCGGGCUGAUUAUUGCGUUAUAUGUGAUGAUUGCAUAAAGGUGCUGCACGGUUUCACAAUUGCAUGGUGGUUGGUUUAAAUCUUUUUUUUUUUUUUGUCAAUAGUGGGC
rnacentral:lncRNA from 1 species